UAUAAACUUAUACUCUAAUUAAUGUUAAUUUAGAGUUAUUUUGAUAUUGAUUUUUAAUUUUAGGGUGAAAUCAGAAAUUAUUUUUAUUUAAACUCUAAAUUUUAAGAUUUAGUAAACAAACCAGAUUAGUACCUGGUUAGAUAAAAUUUAAAAGAGCAGGAGUAAAGUUAUAUUUAAACUGUAAGAAUAUUGGCAGGUUUUUAAAUUAUCUUUGGAGGCUGAGUAGUGAUUGAGAGCCCUCAUUUUCAACUUUUUCUUUAGGCGCAUGUAUGAUCGUUUAUUUUAUUCUUAAGGAUUGUAAUUUUAGUCUUUGCUAUAAAAAUAGAUAGAUAUCUGGCUUAUGAGAAAGAUUUAAUUUGGCCUACAAUAAUUUAAUUUUUGGAUUCUAGUUUUAGAGGCUAGAUGAAAUUGUAAAAGACAGUAAGUUGCUUUUAAUGGGUGGCUGAAGUUUAUUUAAAAACGGUACAAAUCAUCCAUCAAUUGCCCAUAGG
rnacentral:ncRNA from 1 species